rnacentral:lncRNA from 1 species
CAGUCACAUCACUUUUCUCAAUGCAUGGCUUGCCGCUGGUUGCCUGCAAAGCAGCAGACCGUCCAAGCUGCCUGCCACCAUUGUAAACGAGCAUUGCUGCAUGGGAAAAGCAAUGGCCAAUAUGGUGAACAUCCACUCAAGUGGAGCCAAGUCGAGCUCUCUCCCUUUCCCUCUUUCUCUCUCUCUCUCUAUACAUACAUACAUACAUACAUACAUAUAUGCUCUACCAUCACAUAGCUGGUAGGUUCAUCAUCACUGCCUCUGGAUUCUCCACUUUUAACCCUAUAAAAUAUAUACAUAAUAGAAGAAUGAAAGGAUUUGAACUCCAAGUCUUUAGAUGGCC